GAUGAACGCUAGCGGCGUGCUUAACACAUGCAAGUCGAGCGGGCAAUUUAUCUAGCACUGAUUACUUCAAAUGGAAAUCAUAAGUGUAAUCAUGAAUUUUCUACCUUUAAUAAAGAAAAAAGAAAUUCAUGUACGCAAAUAGUGAUAACACAUUUUAGUGGAGUGAUGAGUGCUGGAUAAAUUGCUAGCGGCGGACGGGUGCGUAACACGUGGGUAACCUGCCCCUAUCACUGGGAUAACACACUGAAAAGUGUGCUAAUACCAGAUAAUAUAAGCUUUUGGCAUCAUUAGCUUAUCAAAGAAUUUCGGAUAGGGAUGGGCCCGCGUCUGAUUAGCUAGUUGGUGAGGUAACGGCUCACCAAGGCAACGAUCAGUAGCCGACCUGAGAGGGUGAUCGGCCACACUGGAACUGAGACACGGUCCAGACUCCUACGGGAGGCAGCAGUGGGGAAUAUUGCACAAU
rnacentral:rRNA from 1 species